GGUGUAUUGAUAUCAAAUGUAAUAAAAGGUGGUUUAAAUUCUGUCUGUCCCACCGUUGGUUUUGGUCAUCUGCCUUCAUCAUCAUGUUUCAAGUGACAUUGAUUGUCAUCCUUGGGAAACACUGGAAAAUACAAGAUCCACAGAUUGAGCAAGCUGUGCAAAAAGAAAAAGCAAAACUAAAUAGCUUGAUCCAAAAACUGACAGAGAAAAUGAGAGAUCAGGAGAAUCUCCAUAAUGAAUCCAUACUAGAUAUAUAUCACCAGAAAAUGUUAACCAUGGAAUCCAACCUGGCACGGAUUAAUGAAUAUGUGGUUUCCUUGAAGAUCAGUCAUGAAAAACUGAAGCAUGAUGUAGGCUUUGAUGUAUCCCAUACGGAGGGCAUGUUCAGCCUAUUUGACAUUGUUCUUCAAAUAAACAAAACAACAUCCACCAAUUAUGUUUCUCUGAGAGCAGAAAUAAUCCAUUUGAAAGAUGUUCUCACUAAUGUCACAAGCAGAAUCUCAUCCAUGGAGGAACAUCUUUCUUCGUUAAUUACGGUACAGUUAUCUCUUAUCGUUUAAGACUAGUUAUAAGACUGUGAGGGCACAGAAUACAUUUUGGUGCAGAACUGUUGAAAUGAUGAUGUAUGAGAGUUACAUUAUAAAAGGACUGAAUGAUGGGGGGGAUGGCACAGUGUUGCAGCGGUUAGCAUUCCUAUAUUGCACCUGCAUUCCCAGUUGAUCUGGGUUUAAUUCCCAUCCUGGGGUGAUAUAUGU
rnacentral:lncRNA from 1 species